AGCGUGUUAACUCAAUGGCUAGAGUAUUGUGCUACGGACACAAUGGUUGUAGGUUCGAAUCUUACACACGUUU
rnacentral:tRNA from 1 species